rnacentral:rRNA from 1 species
UGGCGACUCUCGGGGCUUCCUCCCCGUUUGUUUGCCCCUAUAGUGUGGCUUGGGGGAGAAAGACCCCUUUUCGUCGGGAGAGACCCGGGGGCGCGGCGCGCACAAGGGGCCCGUGCUCGCAGAGGCCCUCACUGUGAACGCUUUUGUGAAUGCCAUGAUUGUCUGAGUGACUAAAUGCAAUCUUUCAUAACUUUCAACAAUGGAUCUCUUGGUUCCGGCAUCGAUGAAGAACGCAGCGAAAUGCGAUAAGUAAUGUGAAUUGCAUAAUUCCGUGAAUCAUCGAAUCUUUGAACGCACAUUGCGCCCUCUGGUAUUCCGGGGGGCAUGCCUGUCCGAGCGUCAUUGCGAACCCUCAAGCACGGCUUGUGUGUUGGGCCGCCGUCCCCUCGUUUGGAGGGGACGGGCCUGAAAGGCAGCGGCGGCGUCGCGUCCGGUCCUCGAGCGUAUGGGGCUCUGUCACGCGCUCAAGGAGGGGUCCGGCCGGGGCCAUAGCCUCUGAAGGUCAAUUCUUCCAAGGUUGACCUCGGAUCAGGUAGGAGUACCCGCUGAACUUAAGCAUAUCAAUAAGGCGGAAGA